rnacentral:tRNA from 1 species
GAGGGGAUAGCUCAGUGGUAGAGCAUGUGCUUAGCAUGCACGAGGUCCUGGGUUCAGUUCCCAAUACCUCCA